rnacentral:rRNA from 1 species
CCCCUAGACGUUCUGGGCUGCACGCGCGCUACAAUAAUACGCACAGCGAGUAUCACCGAGCUCGAAAGGGCAAGGUAAACAAUAGAAAAGGUACUGUAAUGGUUAUAGAUCCUUGUAAUUAUUGAUCUUCAACGAGGAAUUCCUAGUAAGUAUGUGUCAUCAUCACGCACUGAUUACGUCCCUGCCCUUUGUACACACUGCCCGUCGCUCCUACCGAUUGGGUGAGCCGAUGAAACUCUCGGAUGUAGGCUAUUCAUAGCCCGCAGAAGAGAUUUGAAUCGUAGCGCUUAGAGGAAGGAGAAGUCGUAACA